GACGAACGCUGGCGGCGCGCUUAACACAUGCAAGUCGAGCGAUGAAAUUUCGACAGAUCCCUUCGGGGUGAAGAUGAAAUGGAUUAGCGGCGGACGGGUGAGUAACACGUGAGUAACCUGCCUUUGACAUUGGGAUAGCCUCGGGAAACUGGGAUUAAUACCAAAUGACACUAACUGAUCACAUGAUCAAUUAGUCAAAGAAAUUCGGUCAAAGAUGGACUCGCGGCUGAUUAGCUAGUUGGUGAGGUAACGGCCCACCAAGGCGACGAUCAGUAGCCGGCCUGAGAGGGUGAUCGGCCACAUUGGAACUGAGACACGGUCCAAACUCCUACGGGAGGCAGCAGUGGGGAAUAUUGCACAAUGGGGGAAACCCUGAUGCAGCGACGCCGCGUGAGCGAAGAAGGCCUUCGGGUCGUAAAGCUCUUUUAUGAGGGAAGAUAAUGACGGUACCUCAAGAAAAAGCCCCGGCUAACUACGUGCCAGCAGCCGCGGUAAUACGUAGGGGGCUAGCGUUGUCCGGAAUCACUGGGCGUAAAGGUUCGCAGGCGGAAUAACAAGUCAGAUGUGAAAGGCAUGGGCUCAACCCAUGUAAGCAUUUGAAACUGUAAUUCUUGAGAAGUGGAGAGGUAAGUGGAAUUCCUAGUGUAGCGGUGAAAUGCGUAGAUAUUAGGAGGAAUACCUGUGGCGAAGGCGACUUACUGGACACAAAUCUGACGCUGAGGAACGAAAGCGUGGGUAGCAAACAGGAUUAGAUACCCUGGUAGUCCACGCCGUAAACGAUGAGUGCUAGGUGUCGGGGGAGACCUCGGUGCCGGCGUUAACACAAUAAGCACUCCGCCUGGGGAGUACGUGCGCAAGCAUGAAACUCAAAGGAAUUGACGGGGACCCGCACAAGCAGCGGAGCAUGUGGUUUAAUUCGACGCAACGCGAAGAACCUUACCAGGGCUUGACAUACUGAGGGCGUACUUAGAGAUAAGUAUUCUCCUUCGGGAGCCUCAAUACAGGUGGUGCAUGGUUGUCGUCAGCUCGUGUCGUGAGAUGUUCAGUUAAGUCUGGCAACGAGCGCAACCCUUACCUUUAGUUACCAGCAUGUAAAGAUGGGGACUCUAAAGGGACUGCCGAUGAUAAAUCGGAGGAAGGUGGGGAUGACGUCAAAUCAUCAUGCCCUAUAUGCCCUGGGCUACACACGUGCUACAAUGGUCGGAACAGAGGGAAGCAACAGAGCGAUCUCAAGCAAAUCUCAUAAAUCCGAUCCCAGUUCGGAUUGCACUCUGCAACUCGAGUGCAUGAAGUCGGAGUUGCUAGUAAUCGCAGAUCAGCAUGCUGCGGUGAAUGCGUUCCCGGGUCU
rnacentral:rRNA from 1 species